rnacentral:rRNA from 1 species
GCCCACUGAAUAAAAUUAAAGGGCCGCAGUAUUUUGACUGUGCGAAGGUAGCAUAAUCAAUAGUCUUUUAAUUGGAGGCUUGUAUGAAUGGUUGAAUGAGAUAUAUACUGUCUUUUUUAAAUUUUUAUAGAAUUUUAUUUUUUAAUUAAAAAGUUAAAAUAAAAUUAGAGGACGAGAAGACCCUAUAGAUCUUUAUUUUUAUAUAUUAUAAAUUAAAAAGAAUAAUUAAAUUUAUAUUUUUAUAAAAAAUUUUACUGGGGUGGUAUUAAAAUUUAAUGAACUUUUAUUAUUUAUUAACAUUAAUAUAUGAAUAAUUGAUCCAGUUUUAUUGAUUAAAAAAUUAAGUUACCUUAGGGAUAACAGCGUAAUUUUUUUUUAGAGUUCAUAUCGACAAAAAAGAUUGCGACCUCGAUGUUGGAUUAAGAGUUAUUUUUAGGUGUAGAAGUUUAAAGUUUAGGUCUGUUCGACCUUUGAAUUCUUACAUGAUCUGAGUUCAAACCGGCGUAAGCCAGGUUGGUUUCUAUCCUUAAUUAAAGUAUUAUAUUAUAGUACGAAAGGACCUAAUAUAAAAAAUAUAGAUUUUAAAUUUAUGAAUUAUAUUAAUAUUUAAUUAAAACUAUUUUGGCAGAUUAGUGCAAUAAAUUUAGAAUUUAUUUAUAUAAUUAAAUUAAUUAUAAAUAGUAUUGUUUUUAAUAGAUUAUUUAUUAUCAUUAGUUGGAAGAUUAUUAUUAGUUAUUUGUGUUAUAGUUGGAGUUGCUUUCUUAACGUUAUUAGAACGUAAGGUUUUAGGUUAUAUUCAAAUUCGU